AUGGCACAGGAAGGCCGGCAGGUUCAGCUUCACGGACGGCGCGCCUCCGCUUGCAGCGCUCAUCACCACGCUCUCACAUUGCUCCCCGUCGUUCUCGUUCAGGCGGUACAUGUCGGUGGACUCCGAGCCCAGACGGUCCGUGAAGUACACGCAGUUGGCUUCGAUGGACGGGAACUUGUCGGCGUCGAGGCAGACGCACCUGUGACAGCCGCCGGCGAAGAUGGCGUGGCUGCCGAUGCUCUUGACGCGCUCCAGCGUGCUCGCGGCCAUGUCCAUCUUGAAGACCUCCACGCGGCUCUCCAGCUUGAAGACCACCAGCGUUUCCCCGGCGGACUCCACCACGAAGCAGCGCUUCCAGGAGGCGGUGUCGAUCUCCUCGGCCGGCACGUCGGCGGGCACGUCGUUGAAAGGGCUCAUCAGAUCGGCGAUCUUGGCGACCACCGCGGGCGGGAGCGGCCGCAGCUGCCCCUGGUGGCCGUCCACGGCGACGAGGCCCUGCACGGCCUUCCUCACCAGAGGGUACGCGUGCCUCUUCUUGUACCUGACGAACUCCUUGCUGUCGGGGGCGGCCCUGUAGAGCUUCAUGGUGUCCUGGCAGUAGAGGACGAGGUAGGGCGGGGCGGAGCCGGAGACGGCGGCGGCGAGCACGUGGGCGCGCAUGCGGGCCGCGAAGCGGACCAUGUGGCCCGUGAAGGGGUGGAGCACGCAGGCGGCGUGCGGCGGGUCCCUGGCGGCCAGCACGAGCAGCCCGUCGGCGGUGACGGAGACGACGAAGUAGGCGCGGAGGAGCGGCAUGCGCCGGCCGUGGAAGCGGCCCGUGGCGGUGUUGACGAGGAGGCGCGCGUCGACGCCGUGGGACGGGUAGUCGAGCAUGACCCAGCCGCGCGGCCGGAAGCGCGGCUCCAGCGUGCCCCCCGGGUCGGCCGUGGCCGCGCGCCAGCUGUGGCAGACGGCGCGGAGCGCCAUGUAGCAGUCGACGUCGGCGGUGUCGAGAAGCAGGUUGGCGACGCGGUCGACCAGCUCCGGCAUCAGCGACGCCCAGCGCUGGGUGUCCUCCAUGGCGGCGCUCCGGCGGGGCGGCGGGGCGGCGCGUGGUGGGUGGGAGGCGUUGGGUCGCCGAGGCUUCCGGAUCUGGGAGUGUGGAUUAGUGUGCUCCACGUGAAGCAUUCACGCCACGCGAGUGGUUAA
rnacentral:rRNA from 1 species